CCUACGGGAGGCAGCAGUGGGGGAUUUUGCACAAUGGGGGGAACCCUGAUGCAGCGACGCCGCGUGGGUGAAGGAGUGUUUCGGCGCGUAAAGCCCUAUCGGCAGGGAAGAAGGCGGACGGUACCUGACUAAGAAGCCCCGGCUAACUACGUGCCAGCAGCCGCGGUAAUACGUAGGGGGCAAGCGUUAGCCGGAUGUACUGGGUGUAAAGGGGGCGCAGACGGCGGCGCAAGCCAGGAGUGAAAGCCCGGGGCCCAACCCGGGGACUGCUCUUGGAACUGCGCGGCUGGAGUGCAGGAGGGGCAGGCAGAAUUCCUGGUGUAGCGGUGAAAUGCGGAGAGAUCAGGAGGAACACCGGUGGCGAAGGUGGCCCGCUGGACUGCGACUGACGUUGAGGCGCGAAAGCGUGGGGAGCAAACAGGAUUAGAUACCCCAGUAGUC
rnacentral:rRNA from 1 species